UGAGGAAUAUUGCGCAAUGGAGGCAACUCUGACGCAGCCAUGCCGCGUGCAGGAAGAAGGCGCUACGCGUUGUAAACUGCUUUUAAUCGGAAAGAAACCCCGGGACGUGUCCCGGGUUGACGGUACCGAUGGAAUAAGCACCGGCUAACUUCGUGCCAGCAGCCGCGGUAAUACGAAGGGUGCAAGCGUUAUCCGGAUUCAUUGGGUUUAAAGGGUGCGUAGGCGGAACAAUAAGUCAGCGGUGAAAGCCCGCAGCUUAACUGCGGAAUUGCCGUUGAUACUGUUGUUCUUGAGUACGUUUGACGUGGGCGGAAUGUGCCGUGUAGCGGUGAAAUGCUUAGAUAUGGCACAGAACACCGAUAGUGAAGACAGCUCACGAAGACGAAACUGACGCUGAGGCACGAAAGCGUGGGGAUCAAACAGGAUUAGAUACCCUGGUAGUCCACGCCGUAAACGAUGAUCACUCGUGAUUGGCGAUAUACUGUCAGUCACCUAGCGAAAGCGUUAAGUGAUCCACCUGGGGAGUACGAUCGCAAGAUUG
rnacentral:rRNA from 1 species